CAGAACGAACGCUGGCGGCGCGUCUUAAGCAUGCAAGUCGAACGGCAAGAGGUAGCAAUACCUCCUAGAGUGGCGGACUGGUGAGUAACACGUGGGUGACAUACCCUUCAGAUGGGGAUAGCUAUUAGAAAUAGUAGAUAAUACCGAAUACGAGCACAGGGGUUAGAGAUCUGUGAGGAAAGGAGCUAAGGCUCCGCUGAAGGAAUGGCCUGCGGCCCAUUAGCUAGUUGGUGAGGUAAGAGCCCACCAAGGCGAUGAUGGGUAUCCGGCCUUAGAGGGUGAACGGACACAUUGGGACUGAGAUACGGCCCAGACUCCUACGGGAGGCAGCAGCUAAGAAUAUUCCGCAAUGGACGAAAGUCUGACGGAGCGACGCCGCGUGGAUGAAGAAGGCCGGAAGGUUGUAAAAUCCUUUUGAAACUGAAGAAUAAGCGUUGUAGGGAAUGACAGCGUGGUGACAGUAGGUUUUGAAUAAGCAACGGCUAAUUACGUGCCAGCCGCAGC
rnacentral:rRNA from 1 species